AUGGCGCUGUCCUUCGCCGUGCGCCGGCGCAAGCCGGAGCUCAUCGGCCCGGCCUCGCCGACGCCGCGAGAGACCAAGCGCCUCUCCGACAUCGACGACCAAGGGACGCUGCGGGCGAACAUUCGCUUCUUCUUCUUCUACCGUGGGGAGCAGGAGUCUGGCGACGACCCGGUGGGCGCCAUCCGCCGCGCCCUGCCGGAGGCGCUGGUGCACUACUACCCCUUCGCCGGCCGGCUCCGCGAGGUGGACGGCCGGAAGCUGGUCGUCGACUGCACCGGCGAGGGGGUCACGUUCGUGGAGGCCGACGCCGACGUCCGGUUCGAGGACCUCGAGGCGGCCGCCGGGCCCGGGCUGACGCCGCCGUUCCCAUGCAUGGACGAGCUCGCCUUCGACGCGGACGGCGUCAGCGGCAUACUCGGCUGCCCCUUGGUGCUCAUUCAGGUGACGCGGCUCCUGUGCGGCGGCUUUGUCGUGGGGCAUCGCUUCAACCACGCCAUGUGCGACGCCACGGGCACAGCGAUGUUCAUGAACGCCGUCGCCGAGCUCGCGCGAGGCCUCCCUGCGCCAACCGUCGCGCCGACGUGGUCCCGUGAUCUGCUCGACGCACGAAGCCCUCCGGCGCCCUCGCUGCCGCACCGCGAGUACGACGUCGUGACGCCCCUGCCGCCAUCGCCACCAGCCGACGACAUGGUCCUGCGCUCCUUCCUGUUCGGCCCUUCCGUCGUCGCCGCGAUGAAGAGAUCCCUCCCGCCUGCUCUCCGCGACACCGCCACCAGCUUCGAGGUGCUGGCCGCGUUCUUGUGGCGCGCCCGCACCGCGGCGCUGGCGCUCCGGCCGGACGAGGAGACGCGGCUGGUGACCGUCGUCAACAUGAGGAGGCACGUCGCUCUAGGCCUGCCUGCCGGCUACUACGGCUACGCCUGUGCCAACCCCAUGGCGGUGAUGGCCGCCGGGGCGCUGCUGAGCGGCUCGAUGGGAGAAGCGGUUGAGCUGGUGCAGGCGGUGAAGGCUUCGGUGACGGCCGAGUACGCGCGCUCCAUGGCCGACCACCUCGUGCUGCACGGGCGGCCGGUGUUGGCCACGCCGAACCUGUUCGUUCUCACCGACCUCAGGCACGUAGGCCUCGAUCGUGUGGACUUCGGCUGGGGCGAGCCAGUGUAUGCAGGGGCGGCCAGAUCAGUUCUCUGGGUGAGCUCGUUGGUCACCGUCAAGAACAGCGCCGGGAAGAAUGUGGUGGCGGUGCCGGUCGCGCUGCCGAGGUUGGCAAUGGAGCGGUUCGCGUCCGAGGUCGAGACGUUGACCAAGAAGGUUUAG
rnacentral:rRNA from 1 species